rnacentral:tRNA from 1 species
CAUGGCUCAGUUGGUAGAGCACGGAGGUUGCAAAGACAAGGAUUGCGGGUUCGAUUCCCGCUG